rnacentral:rRNA from 1 species
CGCGUAGGCGGUACUUCAAGUCAGGCGUGAAAGCCCCGGGCUCAACCUGGGAACCGCGCUUGAGACUGGAGAACUAGAGUUCGGGAGAGGAUGGUGGAAUUCCCAGUGUAGAGGUGAAAUUCGUAGAUAUUGGGAAGAACACCGAUGGCGAAGGCAGCCAUCUGGACCGACACUGACGCUGAGGCGCGAAAGCGUGGGGAGCAAACAGGAUUAGAUACCCUGGUAGUCCACGCCGUAAACGAUGAGUGCUAGACGUUGGGGCCCUUAGGGCUUCGGUGUCGCAGCUAACGCAUUAAGCACUCCGCCUGGGGAGUACGGCCGCAAGGUUAAA